GGAUCAUUAAUGAGUUUUCCAAACUCCAAACCCUUGAGAACAUACCUAGUUGCCUCGGCGGACUUGCCCUGGGACGACCUACCCUGCAGCGAGUUACCCUGUAACGAGUUGCCCUGUAGAGACCUGCCCUGUAGCCUGCCCGCCGGCGGCCAACCUAAACUCUGUUUUAUUGUGGCACUUCUGAGGAUUAUUCUAAAUGAAUUAAAACUUUCAACAACGGAUCUCUUGGUUCUGGCAUCGAUGAAGAACGCAGCGAAAUGCGAUAAGUAAUGUGAAUUGCAGAAUUCAGUGAAUCAUCGAAUCUUUGAACGCACAUUGCGCCCAUUAGUAUUCUAGUGGGCAUGCCUGUUCGAGCGUCAUUUCAACCAUCAAGCCCUAUUUGCUUGGCGUUGGGAGACUUGUAGGCCCGGCCUGCAAGCUCCUGAAAUAGAUCGGCGGAGUCGUGGCGACCCUCAGCGUAGUAAUUCUUCUCGCUUUAGGUGUCGGCGCUGGCGUUUAGCCGUUAAACCCCCUAUUUUUUAGUCUUGACCUCGGAUCAGGUAGGAAUACCCGCUGAACUUAAGCAUAUCAAUAAGCGGAGGAAAAGAAACCAACAGGGAUUGCCUUAGUAACGGCGAGUGAAGCGGCAACAGCUCAAAUUUGAAAUCUGGCCCUCGGGUCCGAAUUGUAAUUUGUAGAGGAUGCUUUUGGCGCGGUGCCUUCUGAGUUCCUUGGAACAGGACGCCUUAGAGGGUGAGAGCCCCGUACAGUUGGACACCAAGCCUUUGUAAAGCUCCUUCGACGAGUCGAGUAGUUUGGGAAUGCUGCUCUAAAUGGGAGGUAAAUUUCUUCUAAAGCUAAAUAUUGGCCAGAGACCGAUAGCGCACAAGUAGAGUGAUCGAAAGAUGAAAAGUACUUUGAAAAGAGGGUUAAAUAGCACGUGAAAUUGUUGAAAGGGAAGCGUUUAUGACCAGACCUUCGUCGGGCGGAUCAUCCGGUGUUCUUCACCGGUGCACUUCGCCCGGCUUAGGCCAGCAUCGGUUUUCGUAGGGGGAUAAAGGCCUAGGGAAUGUGGCUCCCUCCGGGGAGUGUUAUAGCCCUGGGCGUAAUACCUUUAUGGGGACCGA
rnacentral:rRNA from 1 species